UCCUGGCUCAGGAUGAACGCUAGCGACAGGCUUAACACAUGCAAGUCGAGGGGCAUCACGGGAGUAGCAAUACAACUGGGUGGCGACCGGCGCACGGGUGAGUAACGCGUAUGCAACCUACCUAUCAGAGGGGAAUAACCCGGCGAAAGUCGGACUAAUACCGCAUAAAACAGGGGCACCGCAUGGUGAUAUUUGUUAAAGAAAUUCGCUGAUAGAUGGGCAUGCGUUCCAUUAGGUAGUUGGUGAGGUAACGGCUCACCAAGCCGACGAUGGAUAGGGGAACUGAGAGGUUGGUCCCCCACACUGGUACUGAGACACGGACCAGACUCCUACGGGAGGCAGCAGUGAGGAAUAUUGGUCAAUGGGCGGGAGCCUGAACCAGCCAAGUCGCGUGAAAGGAAGAAGGAUCUAUGGUUCGUAAACUUCUUUUGCAGGGGAAUAAAGUGCAGGACGUGUCCUGUUUUGUAUGUACCCUGAGAAUAAGGAUCGGCUAACUCCGUGCCAGCCGCAGC
rnacentral:rRNA from 1 species